GACGAACGCUGGCGGCGUGCUUAACACAUGCAAGUCGAACGGAAAGGCCCUGCUUUUGUGGGGUGCUCGAGUGGCGAACGGGUGAGUAACACGUGAGUAACCUGCCCUUGACUUUGUGAUAACUUCAGGAAACUGGGGCUAAUACCGGAUAGGAGCUCCUGCUGCAUGGGGGGGGUUGGAAAGCUUCGGCGGUUGGGGAUGGACUCGCGGCUUAUCAGCUUGUUGGUGGGGUAGUGGCUUACCAAGGCUUUGACGGGUAGCCGGCCUGAGAGGGUGACCGGCCACAUUGGGACUGAGAUACGGCCCAGACUCCUACGGGAGGCAGCAGUGGGGAAUAUUGCACAAUGGGCGGAAGCCUGAUGCAGCAACGCCGCGUGCGGGAUGACGGCCUUCGGGUUGUAAACCGCUUUCGCCUGUGACGAAGCGUGAGUGACGGUAAUGGGUAAAGAAGCACCGGCUAACUACGUG
rnacentral:rRNA from 1 species